UACCUGAGGCUUCUGCCGCUGUGGAAGUACCUGAGGCUUCUGCCGCUGUGGAAGUACCUGAGGCUUCUGCCGCUGUGGAAGUACCUGAGGCUUCUGCCGCUGUGGAAGUACCUGAGGCUUCUGCCUCUGUGGAAGUUCCUGAGGCUUCUGCCGCUGUGGAAGUACCUGAGGCUUCUGCCGCUGUGGAAGUACCUGAGGCUUCUGCCGCUGUGGAAGUACCUGAGGCUUCUGCCGCUGUGGAAGUACCUGAGGCUUCUGCCGCUGUGGAAGUACCUGAGGCUUCUGCCAAGGAGGGACCAAUAGUAGAAGCACCAGCAGUAGGGGAUUUUCCCAGAAGAGGCGCCCCAGGUCGAAGAGGCAGCGCCAGUUGAGGCAGAGGUACCUGCAGCCGAAGAGGUAGCAGUAGUAGUGGAGGAAGCCCCAGUGGAGGAAGCCCCAGUGGAGGAAGCCCCAGCAGCGGAGGAACCGGCAGCGGAGGAACCGGCAGCGGCAAAGGAGGCUGUGGAGACAGCCCAAGUGUCUGAGGAUGAGGCGCUCGUCGUGGAGGCGGCAAUGCUGGCAGCAGCCUCAGCCCUAGAUGUUGUGGCAGUGGAGGCAGAGGCAGCCCCGGCUGAGGAAGUCAAGGAGCCCCUCUUCACUUCAUGCCACCAAUGUGAAGCCCCAGCUUCUGAGGCUCCCCCAGUUGAGACUGCUGUGGCAGUCACCCCUGUGGAGGUUGUAGAGGCUGCAUCUGUGGUGGAAUUAGAGGCUCCCCCUGCUGGUGUGGAGUCAGUUGGUGAGGCAGUGGAGGUGACCGCGGAGGAGCGUGCCACCGAUUGGCCUGUGGAGGUGACCGCAGUGGAGGAAGCCAAGGUGGAAGGAGAGACUGCCAGGCCAGUAAAGAGGUCCUGCUCAGUGAUGUAAUAGUACAGAAGGUGCACAGAGUAUGAGCCUGAUGUUGCUGACAGCUCAGUCCUGACUGGAGACCAGCGAGAUGUGCCUUCUGGAAUAGUCAACGCCCACAGCUGUCAAUCAAACAGGACGAUCAACAUAAAACACACACAGAAUUAGAACUGGUUUGAAUUUAAUUCUAUAAUUAUAAUAAACUAAUUAUAUUUAAAUGUUAUCUAAUGACAACAGUUGUCAACCUUGUAACUACAUUCCAGGUUCUCACUCAGUUUCUUGGUCUUGUAUUAUCCCUACAUUUACAUUUACGUCAUUUAGCAGACGCUCUUAUCCAGAGCGACUUACAAAUUGGUGCAUUCAUCUUAUGAUAUCCAGUGGAACAACCACUUUACAAUAGUACAUCUAUAUAUAUUUUUUUUGGGGGGGUUAGAAGGAUUACUUUAUCCUAUCCCAGGUGAGGUGACACUUCUGUAAGGGUUUGAAGUCUGACUUUAUUCUUAGGUUCUGACCCAAAUGGCACCUUAUACCCUAUAUAGUGCACUACUUUUGACCAGGGCCCGUAGGGGAAUAGGGUGCCAUUUGGGACGGACUUCAACUGUUUCUCAGUACCACCCUGUUCCACAAGGUGCCACUGUUACCAAGCUGACGAAGACCACUUGAAUGUAUUUGAAGUUACUUGAUAAAUUAUCGUGUACUUGACAUAGCCUAAUGAAUUCGGACUAUUUUUUUGAUUUAAUGAAAUAAGAUCUGAAUCGGUGUAUUAAACAGUAGGCUAUUAGACAAUGUCUAGAUAAUUGUGUUCUUCAAAGACUGUUGGGUUAGUUCUGCAUGAAGUUUUUUUUAUUCUAUCAGGGAAUAUCUAGAUUAAGUUUAGUUCCCAAGCCAGUAGACUGUUGGUAGACAGUAUUGUACCUAUGUGUUGUAAAAAUAAAAUGUAUGUUUCAGUCCAAUAACAAUCUAUGUAAUAGCUUUGCAGGUGGGGUUGGUUGGUGAGGUUGGGUGGUUGUGUGUGUGUAACACAGUAUGGAAAGACUAGUUGUCCAAACUAUCCUGUGGUUAUAUAUUCAUGUUGCUUGUGUAUAUUUUCUAUAGAAAGACUAGUUUGAAGAUCAAAACUAACACUAUCCUGUCACUAUAUAGUCAUGUUGUGUAUAUUUUAGAUGGAAAGACUAGUUUAAAGGUCGAAACUAACAAUAUCCUGUCAUUUAUUUAAGUCAUAAUAUAAUUGUCAUUAUGUAAUUACUAAAAAAGCUACUAUGAUGUCAUACUCAGAAAAGUGUCAUGUUGUAUUUUUAAAUUGAAUGGAGCUGUAUGCUUAUUCAGAAUGGACAAGUGGACUGUACACUUUUGACUUUGAACUUCAUUGACAUGAUUCCAUAUCUAAUUAUGAGAUUCAAUUUGGAGAGGCCUUUUUUUAAUGGAUGAAAUGAUAAAUUCAAUAAUUGUUUCAUGUAUAGUAUCUGUUAUUGUAAAGACUAAUUCUUUGUAAAUAAAUAAAGGUGAUUUUAAACUGUUUGGUUGGCAAUGUAAUUAUUGUGAUGUUUUUGUAUGCUACAGGAUGAAACGAUAACAUUUUGGACAGUAGAUGGAGCUCAAUACUUCCAUUCGAUCUCCUUCAAUCCGUUUGAAUGGGUAACAGUCUCAUUCAGCCAAUGUUUAUUGAAAUGUAUUCAUUAGAGACUGGAUGGCGACAUGACUGGAGACAUGGACAUGACUGGCAGUAGUGCAAAAUGACUAGCAGUAGUGCAAAUGAUAUGAAAAGAAACGCACAGAGAACGUGCAUAUCCUUCAGAAAAGAAUUUGAUACACAUAAAUAAAGUUGUAUUUCAAUGCUAUGAAACAUAACAUCAGUAGUAUAACACUUUUGGAGAAUGCAGCAAAAUCUAAAUUAUACUAUUUAUGGGGAAGGUUCGGGGGCAGUUGCUGCUCUGCGUGACGUCACGGCCGGUGUGUCAUUCGCUGGCAGGCUGUGUUGUCGUUUUCUGGACCCGAACCUCUCCUCCCAGCAAAAACAACGAGUCCAGCCCCCUUGGAAAAAACACCGUUUUAUUUAUUGUUCAGAAUAACAUAGAAACAAACGUGCUUUCACAACGACCAGAAAUAACCAAAUCUAAAUGUUGUAGAUAGCGUUACACUAUGGUUCGCUAACAACAAACGGGUUGCUAGUGAACGUUAGCAACGCCAGCUAGGUCUGUUCGGAGGAGGUUACGGAGUGUCACUGGCAGCAGCUAACCAUUGUGUCUGUUGUUGACUCGGCCUUGCAUCAGAAACCCCCUUUGGACUGGGCAGAAGAGCCAUUUCAAGGUAAGGACAUUCUUGUAGCUAUCCAUAUGCUAAUUCUGCUAAACCAUUUAUCUAGCUAACAAGCUGAUACUCGUGAAUACCAGAACAUAUGCAUGCUAACUAACUAGAAAGGAGGGGGCGUCACAAUGUAGCUAACGUUAGUUAAUAAUGGUAACUAGUUAGCUAGUCGCUGUGGGUUUUAGAUAAAUAAACUCUUUAAUUAGUGUUCAUGUUUGAGAGCGAGAGAGGGCUCCAGAAAGUUACAGUGAAAUGGCUAGUUAACUUACUAUCCCAGUGCUGUACAUCUCGCCCUCAGUGUGGUUUAAUACCCAUGUAUUUACACUGGCAAUGCCCCUGGUAAUGACAACUUAACCCAAUACACUGUUGCCCAGGAGUUAGACUACAGACUGUAGUGUAGUGUCAAGAGCUGCAAAGCCUCAGUGGGUUUUGUGAAGCACUCGUAGCUACAUUUUAUAUUUUAGUCAUUUAGCAGACGCUCUUUUCCAGAGCGACUUACAGUAGUGAGUGGAUACAUUUUCAUAUUUCAUUUUCCUACAUUAUUACUAAGUUAUUCAGACUAGCUAAAACAGCCGUUGGUCUGUCUGACUGCAAUGUUAUCUUGCCCUAGAUAAGACUAUGGCGGAACUUGACAUGUGUCCUGUAAUAACUGCUUCCCUCACAAGGAAUUUGUGACUAGCUGCUAAUGCAAACAAACGGAGAGCUAACUGAGUAGCACUGGCCUAGAGUAACCUUUGAACCAGCGAGCUAGGCCCUGAAGGAUAGUUAUCUCACAAGUGAACAACGGUUUCAGCUUGGCACCAAUGUCCUUGUUAGGCAACCAGUAACUACAGUCCAACAGACACCGUUUACACAGUGAAACUUGCAGUGUACCGACUGUUGAACAAAAGCGUUCGUUUACUUGAAUAUUACAUAUUGGGUGAAUGUUUGGUUGGUUCUCAAGAGGGGGGUGGUGGGGUGGACCACAGGGUUACCAUAGUGAUAUGAGAUGGGGUGGCAGGGGAUGAAUAAAGGCUCACAGUGAGGGUUGGGUUUGCUGGUCAAACUCUGGCACUGCUAGAAGACUGUCCUUGUAGAGUAGAUACACACAGUGGUAUGCUACACCUGAUAGGCUACUUGAUCUUGGGGGUGUGCUGAGCACACAGUCUAGUCAACAUCCAUUCUCUCUGGCACUGACUGGGUAUAAAUAAUAUGACCUCUCUCUGGCACUGACUGGGUAUAAAUAAUACGACCUCUCUCUGGCACUGACUGGGUAUAAAUAAUAUGACCUCUCUGGCACUGACUGGGUAUAAAUAAUACGACCUCUCUCUGGCACUGACUGGGUAUAAAUAAUAUGACCUCUCUGGCACUGACUGGGUAUAAAUAAUACGACCUCUCUCUGGCACUGACUGGGUAUAAAUAAUAUGACCUCUCAGGCACUGACUGGGUAUAAAUAAUAUGACCUCUCUGGCACUGACUGGGUAUAAAUAAUACGACCUCUCUCUGGCACUGACUGGGUAUAAAUAAUAUGACCUCUCUCAGGCACUGACUGGGUAUAAAUAAUACGACCUCUCUGGCACUGACUGGGUAUAAAUAAUAUGACCUCUCUGGCACUGACUGGGUAUAAAUAAUAUGACCUCUCUGGCACUGACUGGGUAUAAAUAAUAUGACCUCUCUCAGGCACUGACUGGGUAUAAAUAAUAUGACCUCUCUGGACUGGGUAUAAAUAAUAUGACCUCUCAGGCACUGACUGGGUAUAAAU
ensembl:lncRNA